AUUGAAAGAAAAUUUAAGGCUAUUACAUCUGUGUAACUUUCUACAUGUGCUUUUAAAGUACUUAAUUUUAAAUUAAGGCUAUUACAUCUGUGUAACUUUCUACAUGUGCUUUUAAAGUCCUUACAGGGGUUUGACUUCAGAGUCUAAAAUGGACACCAAGUCCUGCUAAAUUUUAAAACACUGAUAGCAGUUGAAGCCUCAUCUUCAGCCCCAGUAGCAGAUGCCAAUCAAAAUAAACUCCAUUUGUGAGACACAGGGCCAGAAAUUAAAACUAUUCAACUCCUCAAGGCCGGGGACUAUCGCAGAAGAGACAGGCAUGUGAAUAAGGGCUGAUUUGAGAGAUUAAGACACAACUGGAGCCACAGGUUAUUUUACCAGGUUUUGACUGGAAUGGCAAGCUUUCAGUUACAGUCUCCUUUAAGGAAUUAAAGUUGACUUAUAGGGUUAAUAAAAGUCCCUUGAGAAAACUGGCUUCAUACCCUGUCUACACAGUCUCUGUGGUAAGAAUGUCACUUUCUGACAGAACCAGGAACCCCAAGUUUUCUUGGGACCUCAAGGUGAGGAAUUCAACCAAUUAAUACAGGUAUUUGUAAGCAUAGGCUGGGCUUAAGGCAUAUAAAGUUGAAUCUGAGAUUCCUAUGGAAUAAAGUUCUAGCAAAGCCAAUUAAAAAACAAAAACGAAAGAAGCCUAUAUGGCAAAUAAUUAUCCUUGCUGACUUUAUGCAAAUACUCCAGUCAAGUAUAAUAAGACUAAAACUUACUUUGCAAAUGAAUUUGUCUUUGAUUUGUCUUUAGUAAAAAUGGGACUGGAGAGAGAAUUAUGUUUCAAAAUAAACUAUAGUACACCUGUUAUUAGAUUCUAGUCUUGCCUAAUGUUUUUCCCUUUUAAUUAUUUUCUACGGUUUGGACUGAAAUCUAAAACUUUUAAUGGCUACAAAUCUCCAAAAUAAUGUUUUCAACUUUUUUCUUUCCUUUCCUUUUGUUCCUAUUUUUACUAAUUUGAAAUCACUAAAAAUCACUUCUACCCAUCCCCUUAAAUAGCUGUUUAUUA
rnacentral:lncRNA from 1 species